UAUGUAGAGUUUUGAUCAUCGAUGUGUAACAUGCCACAUCUAUGAGCAAGAGGCUACACAAUAUUUUAGGAAAAGUUAUCUCUUUCUUUCAUAAUCCAUCGUGCAUACAGUUAUUUCUCUCUACUAUUAAUUCAUGCUCUUUUAUAAUAGAAAAUGCCUCCCCAAAUAGCUAAUUCCCGUAGAAAUGAUAACCAGCAUUCUCAGCCUGUUGAUCCCC
rnacentral:lncRNA from 1 species